GGUGGGGGACCUGGAGCUCAGAGACGUUAAGUGAUUAAGUGACUUGACCAAGGUCACACAGCUGGUACGUGGUAGAACCAGGAGUCAAGCCCAGUUCUUCAGGCUCCUUGGACCAGGGUUCUUUCCACCAUAACCUGGGAAAGAUGGACAAAGAGGAGAGCAGCACCCUGGCCACUGGUGUAUCAGAGAUCAAGGACAGUUGCAGGGCAAGAAGGGAAGAUGUGGAAUUUCUCUGAGAGGCUUCUCUUGAUAGCUAGGAAGCUCCCAAAGCCUGGUGUCUGGACACUCCUCAGAAGCCUCCCCAGCAGGAGGGUCCCCGGAUGGCCCUCUUGUCCCCUGGAGGAAUGUCGAGAGCCGGCACUUCUGUUCCAGGGGCUCCACCGUCCACGUGCCUGUUCCAUGCCUUCUACUUCUGGAAUAUAAAACUGCAGCAUGUUCUGAAUUCCGUUUUUUUUGGAUUAAUGAUUGAACUGGGGCAGCUGGUACAAGACGCUUGGAGUUUCAAGUUCAAAGCCUUUGUAGAUCACAUCUCCUCCACUUCCUACACAGUUGACUGGACCCUACUAUCUAACAAUUCCUUGAUCAUUGCCACAACUUCACCAUCUUCUUCAGAUGCUGCUUCUCCUGAAGAUGUUUCCUCUGUAAUGAGAAGUAAACCAGAUGCAAAGAAGUCCAUGACUGUUGCAUAAAUAUCUGGUAUGAGUAAUUUCCAGUCUAACUCUCCACUUGCCUUUCUAACCGUGAUGAAAUCUGGUCCAAAGAAAACACUUUUUACUCCUUCAGUCCUGAAUAAUUGCCUAACCAGAGGGGAGCAAAAUGCUGCAGCUGGUGUUGGAAAAUCCAUGGUCCUUGUCUCAAGUACAGGUUUUCCUGAAAUAAACUUUAAGCUGUUGGGAUUUGAGGUAUCUGUUUGAAUGAACAUGUAUCUUGUUGUGUGAGAUAAGGAUGCCAGUAGUAGGAAAAGUGAUCUUUGUACAAACUGAUGCAAAGACUGUUUCUUAAUGGUGUGUGGAUUCCUCAUUGUAGGACAGAAUCGCUUGCACAGCCCAGCAGCAGUGGCUGCAGCUCCCCAUGGCCACUGGACCGCCGCCAUUUUAGUUCAAGAGUGCUACGUAUAUCAAUAUAUUUUAAUUAUAGGG
rnacentral:lncRNA from 1 species